AAAACGUUAGCUCAAAUACGAUUACAAAACAACAAUUGUGUGUAACCAACCAAUCAUCAAGCCAGCAAAAGAAUUCUGCCAUGUGUCGAGUUGUCAACUAGUCAUUUUAUCACCUAAUACACUGGAACUUCUGAUAUUCUAAGAUGUUAUCCAUUUAAAACUUUCUGGCUAUGUUAAUUUCAGUUACAAUCAUUGUAAAGGAUGAAAUAAGUCAUAGAGAUAGUAUCACCACAACAUGGACACCAACCUAGCAUUCAGAAGACAUCGAGUUCAAAAUAAUGUUGUUAAUCAACAAUUUAUGUGGCCAGCAGAAGAAGAAAACAAAUAAAAGCAGCAGUCUUGGUACCCUACAACUCAACAGGAAAGGAGAUCCCUAGAACCUAAUCGAGGAAUGCAUAAGCCCCACAUUUUCAGCUAUACAUGAGACUUAAUCGAAGCCAAAGUCAAGUGAAAGAUAGGUCACAGAAAAGGAUAAUAAUGCAUAAAGUCAGGAAAAACAAACCAAAAGGUAACGUCAGGGGAGAACAGUCUUCUCAAGGAAUCAACUUGCUAGGUAAGUUUACAACCCAACGCAUUUAUAGGUGAAAACGCUGGUUUUGCAGGUUAACAAGGGCAAUGAUCUAAUGAACUUGUUCUUAUAAAUUUUGUACCAAAACAAAGGCAGUAAUUACAACUUUGGAAGCAUUUUCAGAAAGUAAUCUUAUUUAGUUGGUUGCAUUUAAUGCUUGUGAGUGCAAUUCCAGUAAUGGCCAAGGCUGCAUUCAUAAAUUUUCUCUUUCAGUCAAUUAAAAUCAGGUUCUAUUAACAACUUCACACAUGUCCUACACAAGAAAGGUGACAAAAUCUAAAAUCAAGAUCAGCUAGGCCUGCUUAUUCAAUCACAAAAUGAGAUUCCUAUACAAGAAAGGUGACAAAAUCUAAAAUCAAGAUCAGCUAGG
rnacentral:lncRNA from 1 species